rnacentral:rRNA from 1 species
GACGAACGCUGGCGGCGUGCCUAAUACAUGCAAGUCGAGCGGACCAAAGGGAGCUUGCUCCUGGAGGUUAGCGGCGAACGGGUGAGUAACACGUGGGCAACCUGCCUGUAAGACUGGGAUAACAUCGAGAAAUCGGUGCUAAUACCGGAUAAUAAAAAGAACUGCAUGGUUCUUUUUUGAAAGAUGGUUUCGGCUAUCACUUACAGAUGGGCCCGCGGCGCAUUAGCUAGUUGGUGAGGUAACGGCUCACCAAGGCGACGAUGCGUAGCCGACCUGAGAGGGUGAUCGGCCACACUGGGACUGAGACACGGCCCAGACUCCUACGGGAGGCAGCAGUAGGGAAUCUUCCGCAAUGGACGAAAGUCUGACGGAGCAACGCCGCGUGAGUGAUGAAGGUUUUUCGGAUCGUAAAACUACUGUUGUUAGGGAAGAACAAGUGCCGUUCGAAAGGGCGGCACCUUGACGGUACCUAACGAGAAAGCCACGGCUAACUACGUGCCAGCAGCCGCGGUAAAGU